rnacentral:rRNA from 1 species
UCAACCUGGUUGAUCCUGCCAGUAGUCAUAUGCUUGUUUCAAGGACUAAGCCAUGCAUGCCUCAGAAUCACUGCACUGCAGGAAUCUGCGCAUGGCUCAUUACAUCAGACGCAAUCUGCCGCAAAAGUGUUGCGGGUGACCGCAUGAUUGGAUACCUUGGCGAAACGCCAAGCUAAUACAUGAGUUGAUGGGUG